rnacentral:rRNA from 1 species
GACGAACGCUGGCGGCGGGCUUAACACAUGCAAGUCGAACGGAAAGGCCCUGCGUGUGUGGGGUGCUCGAGGGGGGAACGGGGGAGGAACACGUGAGUAACCUGCUCUAGACUUUGGGAUAACUUCAGGAAACUGGGGCUAAUACAGGAUAGGAGCUCCUGUUGGAUGGAGGGGGUGGGAAAGUUUCGGCGGUUGGGGCUGGACGCGCGGCUUAUGAGCUAGUUGGUGGGGUAGUGGCUGCCCAAGGCUGUGGCGGGUAGCCGGCCGGAGAGGGUGACCGGCCUCCAUGGUACUGCGAUAGGGACCAGUGUGCUACGGGAGGCAGCGGUGGCGAGCCUUACCCAGCGGGCCCACGCCUGUUGCGGCGACGCUGCGGUCGUGAAGCCGGUCUUCGGGUUGUAAACCGCUUUCGCCUGUGACGACGCGUGUCUGACGGUAAUCGGUAAAUAAGCACCGGCUAACUUCGUG